rnacentral:rRNA from 1 species
AGAGUUUGAUUCUGGCUCAGGAUGAACGCUGGCGGCGUGCUUAACACAUGCAAGUCGAACGGGCUCAUAUUGAAACCUAGUGAUGUAUGAGUUAGUGGCGGACGGGUGAGUAACGCGUGGAGAACCUGCCGUAUACUGGGGGAUAACACUUAGAAAUAGGUGCUAAUACCGCAUAAGCGCACAGCUUCGCAUGAAGCAGUGUGAAAAACUCCGGUGGUAUACGAUGGAUCCGCGUCUGAUUAGCUGGUUGGCGGGGUAACAGCCCACCAAGGCGACGAUCAGUAGCCGGCCUGAGAGGGUGAACGGCCACAUUGGGACUGAGACACGGCCCAAACUCCUACGGGAGGCAGCAGUGGGGAAUAUUGCACAAUGGGGGAAACCCUGAUGCAGCGACGCCGCGUGAGUGAAGAAGUAUUUCGGUAUGUAAAGCUCUAUCAGCAGGGAAGAAAAUGACGGUACCUGACUAAGAAGCCCCGGCUAACUACGUGCCAGCAGCCGCGGUAAUACGUAAGGGGCAAGCGUUAUCCGGAUUUACUGGGU